UACAGAGGGUGCGAGCGUUGUCCGGAAUCACUGGGCGUAAAGGGCGCGUAGGUGGUGGCUUAAGCGUGCGGUGAAAGCUCGGAGCUCAACUCCGAGUCGGCCGUGCCAACUGGGCUCACUGGAGCAUAGUAGAGGCAGGUGGAAUUCCGGGUGUAGCGGUGGAAUGCGUAGAGAUCCGGAAGAACACCGGUGGCGAAGGCGGCCUGCUGGGCUAUGGCUGACACUGAGGCGCGAAAGCGUGGGGAGCAAACAGG
rnacentral:rRNA from 1 species